AUUGAACGCUGGCGGCAGGCUUAACACAUGCAAGUCGAACGAGUGGCGGACGGGUGAGUAAUGUCUGGGAAACUGCCUGAUGGAGGGGGAUAACUACUGGAAACGGUAGCUAAUACCGCAUACCAUCAGAUGUGCCCCGAUGGGAUUAGCUAGUGGGUGGGGUAACGGCGCACAUAGGCGACGAUCCCUAGCUGGUCUGAGAGGAUGACCAGCCACACUGGAACUGAGACACGGUCCAGACUCCUACGGGAGGCAGCAGUGGGGAAUAUUGCACAAUGGGCGCAAGCUUGAUGCAGCCAUGCCGCGUGUAUGAAGAAGGCCUUCGGGUUGUAAAGUACUUUCAGCGGGGAGGCGUUACCCGCAGAAGAAGCACCGGCUAACUCCGUGCCAGCAGCCGCGGUAAUUC
rnacentral:rRNA from 1 species